rnacentral:rRNA from 1 species
GACGAACGCUGGCGGCGUGCCUAAUACAUGCAAGUAGGACGCAGUUGCGAACGGGUGAGUAACGCGUAGGUAACUACCUAUUAGAGGGGGAUACCUAUUGGAAACGAUAGCUAAUACCGCAUACUAGUAGAUGGACCUGCGUUGUAUUAAGUAGUAGGUAGGGUAAUGGCCUACCUAGGCAACGAUACAUAGCCGCCCUGGUAGGGGGAUGUGCCACACUGGGACUGAGCAACGGCCCAUACUCCUACGGGAGGCAGCAGUAGGGAAACUUCGGCAAUGGGGGGAACCCUGAACGAGCAACGCCUGGGGAGUGAAGAAGGUGUUCGGAUCGUAAAGCUCUGUUGUGAAGGAAGCGGUACUUAACCAGAAAGGGACGGCUAACUACGUGCCAGCAGCCGCGGUAAUUC